CAUGGUUUCUGGAUGCUGAAGAAAUUUCAAGAUUUCGCCAAAUUUUCCUCAUCGAGAUUUACUUCAUCCACUUAUAAUCCAUCAUCCUUGAAUUAAUCCCUAGACUAGAUUCUGCCGUCAACAGGAGCACAACAACAAGAAGCAAAGAACUCUUAUCGUCACUACUCCUCAAGGAAACAAAACUCCUUCUCAGAUUAUACUAAUAGACCUCCUUCCUCUGAUCCCUCGAUUUCAAAUACCCCAUUUAGAAACGACUCCGGGAAUACUAAUUCUGUAAGUAUUAUGAUCUAAAGAUUGGUACUGAAGGUCUGAAGUUGAAGCUGUGAAGGGAUCUAUCUAUUGAGACUAACUCUUUCUUCAAAAGCGAUUCUUUGGGAAACCUCAAAUGGGCUUAAGUUCGUGAAAGAUAAAUCUGCCAAAUUAAAGCAAGCAAGUGAAACAGAUCAUCGCGUUGAACUCAGUAUAGCAAUGAG